rnacentral:rRNA from 1 species
UACGAAGGGGGCGAGCGUUGUCCGGAAUUAUUGGGCGUAAAGAGCUCGUAGGCGGUCUGUCGCGUCUGCUGUGAAAACCCGGGGCUCAACCCCGGGCCUGCAUUCGAUACGGGCAGACUAGAGUUCGGUAGGGGAGUCUGGAAUUCCUGGUGUAGCGGUGAAAUGCGCAGAUAUCAGGAGGAACACCGGUGGCGAAGGCGGGACUCUGGGCCGAUACUGACGCUGAGGAGCGAAAGCGUGGGGAGCAAACAGG